UACGUAGGGGGCAAGCGUUGUCCGGAGUUACUGGGCGUAAAGCGCCCGCAGGCGGUCGCGUCAGUUCGCGGUGACAGCGCUCGGCUUAACCGAGCGAGGACCGAGAAGACGGCGUGACUUGAGGGCCAGAGAGGGACAUGGAACUCCGGGUGGAGUGGUGAAAUGCGUAGAGAUCCGGAAGAACACCAAAGGCGAAGGCAGUGUCCUGGCUGGCACCUGACGCUCGGGGGCGAAAGCGAGGGGAGCGAACGGGAUUAGAUACCCCGGUAGUCCUCGCCGUAAACGAUGACCACUAGGUGUGGGAGGGAUCGACCCCUUCCGUGCCGGCGUUAACGCACUAAGUGGUCCGCCUGGGGAGUACGGUCGCAAGAUUAAA
rnacentral:rRNA from 1 species